GAUGAACGCUGGCGGCGUGCCUAUUACAUGCAAGUCGAGCGAACAGACGAGGAGCUUGCUCCUCUGACGUUAGCGGCGGACGGGUGAGUAACACGUGGAUAACCUACCUAUAAGACUUGGAUAACUUCGGGAAACCGGAGCUACUACCGGAUAAUAUAUUGAACCGCAUGGUUCAAUAGUGAAAGACGGUUUUGCUGUCACUUAUAGAUGGAUCCGCGCCGCAUUAGCUAGUUGGUAAGGUAACGGCUUACCAAGGCAACGAUGCGUAGCCGACCUGAGAGGGUGAUCGGCCACACUGGAACUGAGACACGGUCCAGACUCCUACGGGAGGCAGCAGUAGGGAAUCUUCCGCAAUGGGCGAAAGCCUGACGGAGCAACGCCGCGUGAGUGAUGAAGGUCUUCGGAUCGUAAAACUCUGUUAUUAGGGAAGAACAAAUGUGUAAGUAACUAUGCACGUCUUGACGGUACCUAAUCAGAAAGCCACGGCUAACUACGUG
rnacentral:rRNA from 1 species